GAUUCUAAUGGUGAUAAUGGUCAGACUCCGAACAAACGAAAGGAACCAAGUUCUGAAAUUAAGAAGAAGAGGCAGACGAAGAAGGUAGCAAGUGUCGCCAACCAGGCCACCAACUCCUCACUCCCUAUUGCGAAGAAUGGUGAUGCAGGCCCUACAAGCAUGACAAGUGCACAUCCCCAGCCCACUGAGAGUGGAAUGGAAAGAGAAGUCAAUUCCAUUCUUGACCGGGAGAGACAGAGCUCAGCAACUACUGACAAGCCCCAGCAAUUUGAGGACUGUGAACUCAUUUGUAAUAAUGAAUUGGCAGCAUUGAGGAAAAAGGCUGAAAAAGGGCGGG